GCACUCUGAAGGAACUGCCGGUGACAAGCCGGAGGAAGGUGGGGAUGACGUCAAGUCCUCAUGGCCCUUACGGGCUGGGCUACACACGUGCUACAAUGGACAAUACAAAGGGCAGCGAAACCGCGAGGUCAAGCAAAUCCCAUAAAGUUGUUCUCAGUUCGGAUUGUAGUCUGCAACUCGACUAUAUGAAGCUGGAAUCGCUAGUAAUC
rnacentral:rRNA from 1 species